UUUAAUGUUUAUUUAUUUUUGAGACAGAGAGAGACAGAGCAUGAACGGGGGAGGGGCAGAGAGAGAGGGAGACACAGAAUCGGAAGCAGGCUCCAGGCUCUGAGCCAUCAGCCCAGAGCCCGACGCGGGGCUCGAACCCACGAACCGUGAGAUCGUGACCUGAGCUGAAGUCGGACGCUCAACCGACUGAGCCACCCAGGCGCCCCAAUGUCUAUUUAUUUUUGAGAGAGAGAGAGAGAGAAAGUGGGAGAGGGGCAGAGAGAGAGGGAGACACAGAAACCAAAGCAGGCUCCAGGCUCUGAGUUUUCAGCACAGAGCCCAAUGUGGGGCUUGAACCCACAAACUGUGAGAUCAUGACCUGAGCCGAAGUCCGGCACUUAACUGACUGAGCCACCCAGGUGCCCCCCAUGUCAUUUUCUUAAUCAUUUUUGGCACGCAGUUCUUCCUUUAUAAGGUAGAGAUCAUAGUUUCUUAACUAUGUCUGGAGUAAUUAAAACAAAACACCCAGAAUGCAUCUAGAACUCUGCUGACAAUGUCAGCCAGGUUAAAAAUAUCUUUUUCAUAAUCUCUCUUUUUCUUUCAAAGGUAUUAAAGCAUUCUGUCUGCCCACACAUUCUGUAACUUGUGCAGCCCUUACAGGGAUUAGGGAUAGAUUUCUAUGGUUUGACCCUGUUCCUUACCUCUCUGCAGAAAUGGGGCCGUGAGUGAGAAGAGUCACUGGUAUUGCAAGAUGUAGAGAGUAUCUAAAGACUUCUCAUUUCUGAAUAGCUCUACCUCUGAUCAUGCCUGAAAUUCCAUUACAAAUCUAUUUCUUGAAGGUGUGUUUUAAUUUGUGGGGGCUGAAAAGGAUACUGAACACUAGUGACCAAGGACUCUCAAAUGCUAUGACUGAGAAGGCAGUAAAGUAAGGACUCUCCCUCAGAAGGAAGCCAUGGAUGUUCUGACACCCCAGGACAACGCACCUGAGUAGGACCGUGGUGGGCGAAGGGAAAAUUCCUGACACCUGGUAUCUACCCCUCAGGAUGGACUGAUGUUUGCUGAUGCUUUUCCCUGGGGAACAGUCUCCCGCACUUCCAUGGUGGAAUGAAAAACUUGGCCUGAGGUUUUAGCCAUCGUGAACAGGGAGCAAGAGCCAGACCUACCUUGUUCAUAGUUUUCUUCAUAUGAAAUGCAUUGCUUAGCACCUUGUAGGAGCUUCAUUGUAUAUAUGUGGAAUCAAUGAAUCAACAUAAAAGGAAGGAUAAAACUUUGGCGUUGAUAAAAUAAGAGCAACAGCAAAUCCCACCCCCGCCGUUUACUGGCCUGUUAACUUCUCUCUGCCUGAAUUUCCUCAACUGCUAAGUGGGAAGGAUCGUGAUAAUCACAGCAUGUACCUCGAGAUACCUUGAUUUCUCGGGCUGUGCUUCCUGCAACAUGGAGGGUCUGUAACAGCACAGUGCUCAUAAGGGAACUUCAGCCAUGUCUGUCUUGGGCCAUCGCACAGAUGAUUCCUGCAUUUGUCUUUACAGAGACUGUUUCUAGUUAUUGGUUCACAACCUCCUCGGAAGCUUCCUGGGUAUAAUCUGAAACCAGCUCCCUUAUGCUGAGGGCAGAGAGAGGGGGAAGAAAGAAGCAGACCACUCCAGACUGGUAGGUGGCAAGUUCAAAUAAGAAGAGAACUUAUGAGGCUCGUCUCGGUGGCUGCAAGAGGAGUGCAUCUCCACACCUCUCUGCCCAAUCUGAAAAGUUUAUGCCGAAGCCUUAACUGGGUUCUGUCAUGUAGACUAUCCAGAUGGUCUCAACACCACAUCACUGUCUCAAGGCUGUAUCCUUGGGGAAGCUUCUGAGAAUGGGGAAGGCAGCAGUGGAUACAUUCCAAGGACCAGGGUGGGGGGUAAGGAGCCUCUGAAUGCCCAGAUCCAGCUCAGGGGACACGUGGUGGGCAUGUGCUCUUGAUGAUCUCCCCCAGUACUAGUAAGCUCUUAUUCUUAGGGUGUCAUCCUUCAGUGAUUCCAGUGGAAAGUUUAGGGGUGUUUCCAGGACCCUUAUUCUUGGUGGGCCCGGAACUCUGAUGUGGGUGUGUG